GCACAAGCGGAGGAGCAUGUGGUUAAUUCGAUGAUACGCGAGGAACCUUACCUGGGCUCGAACGUAAGAUGACUGUAGGUGAAAGCUUACAUCUCUUCGGAGCAUUUUACGAGGUGCUGCAUGGUUGUCGUCAGCUCGUGCCGUGAGGUGUCGGGUUAAGUCCCAUAACGAGCGCAACCCUACCUUAGUUGCCAUCAGGUAAUGCUGGGGACUCUAAAGGAACUGCCUACGCAAGUAGUGGGGAAGGCGGGGAUGACGUCAAAUCAGCACGGCCCUUACGUCCAGGGCUACACACGUGCUACAAUGGCCGAUACAGAGGGCAGCUACCUGGUGACAGGAUGCAAAUCUCCAAAGUCGGUCUCAGUUCGGAUCGGAGUCUGCAACCCGACUCCGUGAAGUUGGAUUCGCUAGUAAUCGCGCAUCAGCCAUGGCGCGGUGAAUACGUUCCCGGGCCUU
rnacentral:rRNA from 1 species